rnacentral:rRNA from 1 species
GAUGAACGCUGGCGGCGUGCCUAAUACAUGCAAGUCGAGCGAACGGACGCGACGCUUGCUUUUCUGAUGUUAGCGGCGGACGGGUGUGUCACACGUGUAUAACCUACCUAUCAGACUGGGAUAUCUUCGGGAAACCGGAGCUAAUACCGGAUAAUAUUUUGAACCGCAUGGUUCAAUAGUGAGAGACGGUCUUGCUGUCACUUAUAGCUGGAUACGCGCUGCAUUAGCUAGUUGGUAAGGUCACGGCUUACCACGGCAACGAUGCAUAGCCGACCUGAGAGGCGGGUCGGCCACCUGGGAAGGGAGACACGGACCAGACGCCUACGGGAGGCAGCAGUAGGGAAUCGGCCGCAAUGGGCGAAAGCCUGACGGAGCGGCGCCGCGUGAGAGAUGAAGGUCUUCGGAGCGUAAAACUCUGUUAUGAGUGAAGAACAGAUGUGUAAGGAACUGAGCACAGCGUGACGGUACCUAGUAAGAAAGCCACGGCUAACUACGUG